ACAACAACAACAAAUCCUUCAACAAAUUCUGCAACAACAACUGAUUCCAUGUAGGGAUGUCGUCUUGCAACAACCCAACAUAGCACAUGCAAGCUCACAAGUAUCGCAACAAAGUUACCAACUGUUGCAACAAUUAUGUUGUCAGCAACUGUGGCAGACCCCCGAGCAGUCACGGUGCCAAGCCAUCCACAAUGUCAUUCAUGCUAUUAUUUUGCAUCAACAACAACAACAACAACAACAACAACAACAACAACAACAACAACAACAACAACCGUCGAGCCAGGUCUCCUACCAGCAGCCUCAGCAACAAUAUCCAUCAGGCCAGGGCUCGUUCCAGCCAUCUCAGCAAAACCCACAGGCCCAGGGCUUUGUCCAACCUCAGCAACUGCCGCAGUUCGAGGAAAUAAGGAACCUAGCGCUACAGACGCUACCAGCAAUGUGCAAUGUCUACAUCCCUCCAUAUUGCUCGACCACCAUUGCGCCAUUUGGCAUCAUGAGUACUAACUGA
rnacentral:rRNA from 1 species